rnacentral:rRNA from 1 species
AACGAACGCUGGCGGCAGGCUUAACACAUGCAAGUCGAACGCACCGCAAGGUGAGUGGCAGACGGGUGAGUAACACGUGGGGAUCUGCCCAAUAAUACGGAAUAGCUCCGGGAAACUGGAAUUAAUACCGUAUGUGCCCUUCGGGGGAAAGAUUUAUCGCCAUUGGAUGAACCCGCGUCGGAUUAGCUAGUUGGUGAGGUAAAGGCUCACCAAGGCGACGAUCCGUAGCUGGUCUGAGAGGAUGAUCAGCCACACUGGGACUGAGACACGGCCCAGACUCCUACGGGAGGCAGCAGUGGGGAAUAUUGGACAAUGGGCGCAAGCCUGAUCCAGCCAUGCCGCGUGAGUGAUGAAGGCCUUAGGGUUGUAAAGCUCUUUCGCCGACGAAGAUAAUGACGGUAGUCGGAGAAGAAGCCCCGGCUAACUUCGUGCCAGCAGCCGCAGUAAUAC